AGAUUGAACGCUGGCGGCAUGCUUUACACAUGCAAGUCGAACGGCAGCACGGGGGCAACCCUGGUGGCGAGUGGCGAACGGGUGAGUAAGGCAUCGGAAUCUGCCCUGAUGUGGGGGAUAACGUAGGGAAACUUACGCUAAUACCGUAUACGACCGAGAGGUGAAAGGCGGGGGACCGAAAGGCCUCGCGCAGCAGGAUGAGCCGAUGUCCGAUUAGCUGGUUGUGGGGUAAAGCCUACAAGGCGACGAUCGGUAGCUGGUCUGAGNGGAUGAUCAGCCACACUGGGACUGAGACACGGCCCAGACUCCUACGGGAGGCAGC
rnacentral:rRNA from 1 species